CCUACGGGAGGCAGCAGUGGGGAAUAUUGCACAAUGGGCGCAAGCCUGAUGCAGCGACGCCGCGUGAGGGAUGACGGCCUUCGGGUUGUAAACCUCUUUCAGUAGGGAAGAAGCGAAAGUGACGGUACCUGCAGAAGAAGCGCCGGCUAACUACGUGCCAGCAGCCGCGGUAAUACGUAGGGCGCAAGCGUUAUCCGGAAUUAUUGGGCGUAAAGAGCUCGUAGGCGGUUUGUCGCGUCUGCCGUGAAAGUCCGGGGCUCAACUCCGGAUCUGCGGUGGGUACGGGCAGACUAGAGUGAUGUAGGGGAGACUGGAAUUCCUGGUGUAGCGGUGAAAUGCGCAGAUAUCAGGAGGAACACCGAUGGCGAAGGCAGGUCUCUGGGCAUUAACUGACGCUGAGGAGCGAAAGCAUGGGGAGCGAACAGGAUUAGAUACCCUGGUAGUCCAUGCCGUAAACGUUGGGCACUAGGUGUGGGGGACAUUCCACGUUUUCCGCGCCGUAGCUAACGCAUUAAGUGCCCCGCCUGGGGAGGUACGGCCGCGAGACGUAAACUACAAUAGAAGUAGACGGCGNGAGACGUGCCGACGGACGACGACGAGGGAGGUUAGG
rnacentral:rRNA from 1 species